rnacentral:rRNA from 1 species
AUUGAACGCUGGCGGCAGGCCUAACACAUGCAAGUCGAGCGGAUGAAGGGAGCUUGCUCCUGGAUUCAGCGGCGGACGGGUGAGUAAUGCCUAGGAAUCUGCCUGGUAGUGGGGGAUAACGUCCGGAAACGGGCGCUAAUACCGCAGACGUCCUGAGGGAGAAAGUGGGGGAUCUUCGGACCUCACGCUAUCAGAGGAGCCUAGGUCGGAUUAGCUAGUUGGUGGGGUAAAGGCCUACCAAGGCGACGAUCCGUAACUGGUCUGAGAGGAUGAGCAGUCACACUGGAACUGAGACACGGUCCACACUCCUACGGGAGGCAGCAGUGGGGACUCUUGGACAAUGGGCGAAAGCCUGAUCCAGCCAUGCCGCGUGUGUGAAGAAGGUCCUCGGAUUGUAAAGCACUUUAAGUUGGGAGGAAGGGCAGUAAGUUAAUACCUUGCUGUUUUGACGUUACCAACAGAAUAAGCACCGGCUAACUUCGUG